rnacentral:lncRNA from 1 species
UGGUAAACAAAAAGGAGUUGAGCUCAUGUGCUUUAGCAUUUAUACUUGUAACUUUUUAGCCUUCGCAUCAUCUCAAAAUUCGUAUAGCAAUAUUAAUGAUGUGUCCUAUUAAGUUUAUUUUAUUAACGUUGUACAAAUCUUGAGACGAUUCAAUGGCUAAGAAUUACAAGCACACGUGCUUUUAAAAGCACAGAAGCUCAACUCAAUAAAAAAUAUAUAUGCUAAAUAAAUAUAUUUUUUUUAGAGAUAGGUAACACGCUAUCCGCUUCGUUUAUUUCAUUUAGAAAUAAACUUAGUUAGAAAUGUGAAUCAAUUAAGAUUCGAACUUGGGACCUCGGGUACCGAUCAUCAAGUCCAUUGACACUUGCGCUAGGAACAGUUGGUUAUGCUAAAUAAAUGUUGAUGCAACCACACAAGCCCACAAUGUAAAAACUGCAAAGUUACCUUCUAC